UACGUAGGUGGCAAGCGUUAUCCGGAAUUAUUGGGCGUAAAGCGCGCGCAGGUGGUUUCUUAAGUCUGAUGUGAAAGCCCACGGCUCAACCGUGGAAGGUCAUUGGAAACUGAAAGGCUUGAGUACAGAAGAGGAAAGCGGAAUUCCACGUGUAGCGGUGAAAUUCGUAGAUAUCGAGAGGAACACCGGUGGCGAAGGCGGCCAACUGGACGAAUACUGACGCUGAGACACGAAAGCGUGGGGAGCAAACAGG
rnacentral:rRNA from 1 species